GUCAACUACCCACGACUUCAGUCGUGGGCUUGUUCCGUGAGGGACAUCGCAAGAGUUGAUUAGGGGGCUUUAAAAACAUGGGAAAAAACAUGAAAGAAAAGCAGAAGUUAGAUCGGAGAAAUACAUACACACCUAUGGAUGCUCCACAAGUCCGUAGCUCUGUGACUCUGUCUUUAAACAGAGAGGAAACUCUCAGUGAGCAGAGUUUAACAUUUGCGAGCGGGAAUUCCCCUUUCGCAAGAUAGGG
rnacentral:sRNA from 1 species